UUUAGCUUGUUGCAUAUGGAUGGUCGUCGUCGGAGUUAGUUCCGUUCGUCGGAGGUUUGGCCGUCAGAACCGUUCGUGGGUGUUGAAGGCUCGUGGGUUUCAUCUGGAGUCAAGCUUUGUCGGCCGAAAUGGUCGCACUUCGAUGGAGAUCUCAUUGGAGGUUAUACUGUGAUGAACAUCUCCAGAAUGUUGGAAAUUUAAGAAGAAAUUAGAAAUGGAAAAGGCAAAGCUAAGGUGAGGACAAAGGAGAUACUCACCAAGGGGUUGCCUGUGGAGCCAGCCGCCAAAUGAUGCUUAAAGAUUCAUCUAUGUGAGAGAUGGCAAAGUAAUUCCAGUUAAAGUUAUUGGGAAUUUUAGAUUACAUUUAAAAAUUGGUUGUUAUUUGGAUCUGAAUGAGACUUUUAUUGUAUUAUCAUUUAGACGAAAUUUAGUUUUCUAUUUUGAG